rnacentral:lncRNA from 1 species
CUCCCAAUGAGCCUUAUUAGCACCCAACUGUGCCUUGGAUUUACUCUGGGUUGCCUAAACAGGAUGCAUGCCAUGAUUUGCCAACCACGUAUCUGGUGCAUGUAAUAACUUUUCUCGAAAUAGAGAAGAAAGAGGAAGAAAAAAAUUUUUGGCACGUCUUCAGCACACCUGGAGUACUCCCUUCAUCCAACUCAAUUUUGACUCGAACUUGAAAGUAGGGGGGCUAGUAUUGGUGGUAUUUUUAUACUGACCGAAGACAG